AUACACAACGUUUUUUAGGAAAAAACGUUGUAGAUUUGUUUUUCAAAAAUUAGCAGAUGCUUAAAAACGUUGUAGAAGGUAUGAUUCCACAACGUUUUUUGGAUAAAAAUGUUAUUGUUUAAUAUAUCAGACAAUGUUUUUUAAAUAAUCGGCUAAUUGUUCUCGGAUAGCACCUGCUCCAGUAGAAAUUUCUCGAUAAAAAAAAAGAUGUGGUUCACCUAUAUUACCAAUGCACCUGCAAUAUGCUAAUGCCAUGAUAUAUAGCCAAAAUGUAUCAAUCAUUCAAAAUACAUCCCACUAAUACAAUUUGUUUACAGUUUCAAAUUACUACAUCCACAAUAAAAAUUACAGAAUAGAUACUCAACACAAUAAAAAUUGACAGAACAGAUGUUAUCAAUCAGAACUCCAGGUUCAUGCAAAGCAAAUAACCAAGCUUUGUCAUAUCAUCCACUCCGUAUGGCAGUGCCUCAGAAUCUUUGGGAUAAACAUUGGAAGAUUUAACAACCUGUAAACAAAAUUCGAAGUUAAAACUCUGCAAAUGUUUCCAAAACACAUCCAUUCACUCGAAAGUCACAACAGAAAAUCAAUCAUUAGAGCAGAUUCAUCAAUAAUCAAAACCGAACAGAAUAAGAGCAACACAUUUUCUGAUUUUAAUCUGUUCCAUUUAAAGGAAAACACAGAGGAAUAUAGCGGCUGUAAAGAUGACCAGCAGAGAAUGGUGGUCCGUGGUAGUGGAAUUGGACUAUAACUGGUUAGGUUGGUUUUCGCUGACAGAGGAGAACAUUAGUCAGGGUGUGGCAAACCGAGGAAAAAGAGAAAAAUAACAACAUAAAGAUAAAUAUUAGAGAGUUCAAUUUGUUUAGAUAUUUGGUCAAAUUAUUUAUGUUAGUUUAAGUUCAAAUUACUUUUUUAUGUAAUUUGAAGGGGAAAAAAUAGAGAACAUGCUAACAACUUAACGAAUACCAUAAGCAUUAAAGUGCCCAAGUAUUACGAGUUAUCCUUCAACACUUUGAUAACCUUGAAAAGGAACUUCUAGUGCAGCAACAGAACUGCAGUUAUACUCAAAGUUCAAACUAAAAUAUAGCCACACCUAACCAAUAAAGCAGACAUAGGAAAGAGAAAAGUAUACACCAAAGAAUUUCUAUAAUUAGUUUUCACUUUUACCUCAGAAUAUGACAGAUUUGGAAGUCUAAAGGUUCAUGACCUCACCUGAUGUUCCAUUGGUUAGUUCGACAGCACUCUUGGCGUCUGAAUUCUGUUUGUACUAGUGGUGGUUAGCAGUCCAUAUAAUACAUAAUAUAAUGCAUACAAAAUUACUAGUGAAGGAGUAAAAAUAAAAUUAAGAAAAUUGAGAUAACUGGGUAGGUAACAAGCAAUAAAAAACUGAUAAUUAUUGAGUCCAGAACUACCCAUGGCAUGAAACGAGGAGCAAACCAGGAAGAAAAUACACAAGAGCCUCCGUAAUAAGAGGCCCAGCUUAGGCUUCUGAAUGUCAAGUGGAUAAUGCAAAGAAAAGUGUCACAAAACAAGCUGCUAAAUAACCAAUAAAUACAACUCAAGAUAAUUUUGGACAAAAAACAAUAAAAUAAGUCAGAAUCUCACCUCCUCCAAUAGAAAAAGUUACCAAAUGCCCUAUAUGUCGACAUAAUUGGGAAGGGAAGAGUAUUAAAACAAGAAUACAAUAGGUAAGAACCGAAAAAAUC
rnacentral:lncRNA from 1 species